AGCAGUAGCCACGGUAAGACGGAGGGUGCUAGCGUUGUUCGGAAUCACUGGGCGUAAAGGGCGCGUAGGCGGCCUGUUAAGUCGGAUGUGAAAUCCCUGAGCUUAACUUAGGAAUUGCAUUCGAUACUGGGAAGCUAGAGUAUGGGAGAGGAUGGUAGAAUUCCAGGUGUAGCGGUGAAAUGCGUAGAGAUCUGGAGGAAUACCGAUGGCGAAGGCAGCCAUCUGGCCUAAUACUGACGCUGAGGUACGAAAGCAUGGGGAGCAAACAGGAUUAGAUACCCCAGUAGUCCCUGUCUCUUAUAC
rnacentral:rRNA from 1 species